UAGGAGUAGUGUGUGUUUGUGAUUUUGAUACUGUGUUUUAGUGCAAUUUAAUAACUUUACCAGACAUAAAAUAUUGCUGGAAUGAGACAGACGUCAGUGAUUUCAAGACCACGCAUAACUCAAGUUACGAAGACUGACUCGUAUUUACCUGAAAGUCUUGGGCAUAUAUUUGGGCGCAAUCUCAGAGAAUAAGACUUCUCCGUAUCUUGCUUAUUGUCCUCCUGAUUGGGACAGGGCUUUGGGAGACAGAAUUGGCAGGACUGGGUUGUGACAGAUAAUGAGUGACCUGAGAACUCUAGGAUACAAUGACCUAGCUGAAAUCAGGCCACGAUGAUAUUAGUCACACGAAGCGUAUUGGGGCUAAUUGGUCUUCUACCCAUCAGGCGCCUAAAG